rnacentral:rRNA from 1 species
CAGUAGCCGCGGUAAUACGUAGGGUGCGAGCGUUAAUCGGAAUUACUGGGCGUAAAGCGUGCGCAGGCGGUUAUAUAAGACAGAUGUGAAAUCCCCGGGCUCAACCUAGGAUCUGCAUUUGUGACUGUAUAGCUAGAGUACGGUAGAGGGGGAUGGAAUUCCGCGUGUAGCAGUGAAAUGCGUAGAUAUGCGGAGGAACACCGAUGGCGAAGGCAAUCCCCUGGACCUGUACUGACGCUCAUGCACGAAAGCGUGGGGAGCAAACAGGAUUAGAUACCCGCGUAGUCCCUGUCUCUUAUAC